rnacentral:SRP_RNA from 1 species
GCUGGGUGUGGUGGCGGGCACCUGUAAUCCCAGCUACUCAGGAGGCUGAGGCAGGAGAAUUGCUUGAACCCAGGAGGCAGAGGUUGCAGUGAGCUGAGAUCACACCACUGCACUCCAGCCUGGGUGACAGAGCAAGACUCUGUCUCGA